AGCCCAAGGUUUCCUGUGCAACGUUCAUCGGCGCAGGGUGAGUCGGCCCCUAAGGUGAGGCAGAAAUGCGUAGCUGAUGGGAAACUGGUUAAUAUUCCAGUACCUUUGUUCAAUGCGAUGUGGGGACGGAGAAGGUUAACUCGGCCGGGUGUUGGACGUCCCGGUUGAAGCGUGUAGACGUGCUGCCUAGGCAAAUCCGGGCGGCUUAGUUGAGGCGUGAUAACGGAACACCCUUUGGGGUGCCAAGUGAGUGAUACCCUGCUUCCAGGAAAAGCCACUAAGCUUCAGUUGAACAAGGACCGUACCGCAAACCGACACAGGUGGGCGGGAUGAAAAUUCCAAGGCGCUUGAGAGAACUCGGGAGAAGGAACUCGGCAAAUUAACACCGUAACUUCGGGAUAAGGUGUACCCCCGGUAUGUGUAGCGCCUCGCGCGUGAAGCAGAUGGGGGUUGCAAAGAAAUGGUGGCUGCGACUGUUUAAUAAAAACACAGCACUCUGCAAACACGAAAGUGGACGUAUAGAGUGUGACGCCUGCCCGGUGCCGGAAGGUUAAAUGAUGGGGUGCAAGCUCUUGAUUGAAGCCCCGGUAAACGGCGGCCGUAACUAUAACGGUCCUAAGGUAGCGAAAUUCCUUGUCGGGUAAGUUCCGACCUGCACGAAUGGCGUAACGAUGGCCACACUGUCUCCUCCCGAGACUCAGCGAAGUUGAAAUGUUUGUGAAGAUGCAAUCUCCCCGCGGCUAGACGGAAAGACCCCGUGCACCUUUACUGUAGCUUUACAUUGGACUUUGACCAUAUCUGUGUAGGAUAGGUGGGAGGCUUUGAAGUGGACUCGCUAGAGUUCAUGGAGCCGACGUUGAAAUACCACCCUGAUGUUGUUGAGGUUCUAACCUAGGUCCAUUAUCUGGAUCGGGGACCGUGUAUGGUAGGCAGUUUGACUGGGGCGGUCUCCUCCCAAAGUGUAACGGAGGAGUACGAAGGUACGCUUGGCACGGUCGGACAUCGUGCCUAAAGUGCAAUGGCAAAAGCGUGCUUAACUGCGAGACCGACAAGUCGAGCAGGUGCGAAAGCAGGUCAUAGUGAUCCGGUGGUUCUGUAUGGAAGGGCCAUCGCUCAACGGAUAAAAGGUACGCCGGGGAUAACAGGCUGAUUCCUCCCAAGAGUUCAUAUCGACGGGGGAGUUUGGCACCUCGAUGUCGGCUCAUCACAUCCUGGGGCUGUAGCCGGUCCCAAGGGUAUGGCUGUUCGCCAUUUAAAGUGGUACGUGAGCUGGGUUUAAAACGUCGUGAGACAGUUUGGUCCCUAUCUGCCGUGGGCGUUGGAAGUUUGAGUGGACCUGCUCCUAGUACGAGAGGACCGGAGUGGACGCACCUCUGGUGUACCGGUUAUGACGCCAGUCGUAUCGCCGGGUAGCUAAGUGCGGAAGAGAUAACCGCUGAAAGCAUCUAAGCGGGAAACUCGCCUCAAGAUGAGACUUCCCGGGGUUUAAAACCCCCUAAAGGUUCGUCGAAGACCACGACGUUGAUAGGUCAGGUGUGGAAGCGCAGUAAUGCGUUAAGCUAACUGAUACUAAUUGACCGUGAGGCUUGAUCCC
rnacentral:rRNA from 1 species